UCUACUAAAGGAUACAAGACAUCCGCUGGUCUUAGGAACCACAAUCCUUGGUGCAAGUCCAAGUAGUAGAA
rnacentral:tRNA from 1 species